GGGUCAGUAGGUUGGUCGUGCCACCGGUACGUACUGGUCUCACUGAUUCCUCCUUCCUGAAGAACCGUAAUGCCAUUAAUUUGGUGUUGCGGGGAAACAGGACUGUUAAUUUGAAAAAAUUAUAGUGUUUAAAGCAAGCUAACGCUUGAAUACAUUAGCAUGGAAUAAUGAAAUAGGACGAUCGAUCCUAUUUUGUUGGUUUCUAGGAUUGACGUA
rnacentral:rRNA from 1 species